GUCUACGGCCAUGCCACCCUGAACAAGCCCGAUCCCGUCUGAUAUUGGAAGCUAAGCAGGGUCGGGCCUGGUUAGUACUUGGAUGGGAGACCUACCUAGGAAGACCAGGUGCUGUAGGCG
rnacentral:rRNA from 1 species